CCCUUAGAUGUUCUGGGCCGCACGCGCGCUACACUGAUGCAUUCAACGAGCCUAUCCUUGACCGACAGGUCCGGGUAAUCUUUGAAUCUGCAUCGUGACGGGGAUAGAUUAUUGCAAUUAUUAAUCUUCAACGAGGAAUGCCUAGUAGGCGCAAGUCAUCAGCUUGCGUCGAUUACGUCCCUGCCCUUUGUACACACCGCCCGUCGCUACUACCGAUUGGAUGGUUUAGCGAGAACUUUGGACCGGAGCUCGGGUGGUCAGCAAUGGUCGCCCGAGAUGUCUGGGAAAUCGUUCCAGCUUGAUCAUCUAGAGGAAGUAAAAGUCGUAACA
rnacentral:rRNA from 1 species